rnacentral:rRNA from 1 species
AGAGUUUGAUCCUGGCUCAGGACGAACGCUGGCGGCAUGCCUAACACAUGCAAGUCGAACGAGAAAGUUCCUUCGGGAGCAAUUAAAGUGGCGCACGGGUGAGUAACGCGUAGACAAUCUGCCCUUCAGUCUGGGACAACUUUUCGAAAGGAGAGCUAAUACCGGAUAACAAUGCAUGACACAAGUUGUAUAUUUGAAAGCUUUAUGUGCUGAAGGAGGGGUCUGCGUCCCAUUAGCUAGUUGGUAAGGUAAAGGCUUACCAAGGCAACGAUGGGUAGCGGGUUUGAGAGGACGAUCCGCCACACUGGAACUGAGACACGGUCCAGACUCCUACGGGAGGCAGCAGUGGGGAAUAUUGCACAAUGGAGGAAACUCUGAUGCAGCAAUGUCGCGUGAGUGAAGAAGGCCCUUGGGUCGUAAAGCUCUUUUAUGGGGGAAGAUGAUGACGGUACCCCAAGAAUAAGCACCGGCUAACUAUGUGCCAGCAGCCGCGGUAAUACAUAGGGUGCGAGCGUUGUUCGGAAUUACUGGGCGUAAAGGGCGCGCAGGCGGAAUAGUAAGUCGGAGGUGAAAGCCCGGGGCUCAACCCCGGAGGGUCUUUCGAAACUACUAAUCUAGAGAGGGUCAGGGGCCGGCAGAAUUCCUGGUG